GCCACGAUGGCAGAGCGGUCAACGCACCCGCCUGCAGAGCGGGUUCUCGUCGGUUCGAAUCCGACUCGUGGCU
rnacentral:tRNA from 1 species